rnacentral:rRNA from 1 species
UACGGGGGGGGCAAGCGUUGUUCGGAAUUACUGGGCGUAAAGGGCGCGUAGGCGGUUUGUUAAGUUGGAUGUGAAAACUCUGGGCUUAACCCAGAGCCUGCAUCCAAAACUAGCAGGCUAGAGUUCUGGAGGGGAUAGCGGAAUUCCUGGUGUAGCGGUGAAAUGCGUAGAUAUCAGGAGGAACACCGGUGGCGAAGGCGGCUAUCUGGACAGAAACUGACGCUGAGGCGCGAAAGCUAGGGGAGCAAACAGG